GUGGGGAAUUUUGGACAAUGGGGGCAACCCUGAUCCAGCCAUUCCGCGUGAGUGAAGAAGGCCUUCGGGUUGUAAAGCUCUUUCGCAAGGGAAGAAAACUUAUGAUCNAAUAAAUCAUGAGGUUGACGGUACCUUGAUAAGAAGCACCGGCUAACUACGUGCCAGCAGCCGCGGUAAUACGUAGGGUGCGAGCGUUAAUCGGAAUUACUGGGCGUAAAGCGUGCGCAGGCGGUUUUGUAAGUCGGAUGUGAAAUCCCCGGGCUCAACCUGGGAACUGCGUUCGAAACUGCAAGGCUAGAGUGUGUCAGAGGGGGGUAGAAUUCCACGUGUAGCAGUGAAAUGCGUAGAGAUGUGGAGGAAUACCAAUGGCGAAGGCAGCCCCCUGGGAUAACACUGACGCUCAUGCACGAAAGCGUGGGGAGCAAACAGGAUUAGAUACCC
rnacentral:rRNA from 1 species